rnacentral:lncRNA from 1 species
AGGUGGGCACUCCUGAGGCUGCAGAGCGGAAGAGACCACCAACACUGCCCACCCCUGUCCACAUCCCUGGCCCAAGAGGAAAUUGUAUAAGGCUUCUGGGUUCCCGUGGGGGAGGGCCACGGAGCAGCAGGACCCCUGAGCCUGAGACACCACCAGAACCUGAAGGAACAGACAUGAUAAACAGUUCUCUGCACCCAAAUCCCGUAGGAGGGAGAGUUAAACUUUCAGAGAGGCAAACACGCCUAGGAAACCAGAAGAGACUGCACUCUGCCCACAUCUCGGAUGCCAGAGGAAAACACCAAACGCCAAGUGGAACCCAGGUGCACUGAAGCUCUCGGAAACAGCAGCACAGAUCUUCCUGGUUGCUGCCGCCACAGAGAGCUCGAGGGCAGCACCCCGAGAGUGAACUUGAGCCUCGGGACUACAGGUAAGACCAACUUUUCUGCUGCAAGUGACCUGCCUGGUGAACUCAUGACACAGGCCCACAGGAACAGCUGAAGACCUGUAGAGAGGAAAAACUACACGCCCGAAAGCAGAACACUCUGUCCCCAUAACUGACUGAAAGAAAACAGG